GGGAAUUUGGCCUUUUAACCAAUUAACGAUCAAUUAUUUAUCAACAUUAUCUCCUCAGUUCACGCUUUGACGUUAACUCCAGAUAAUGAAAUGCAAUCAACCUUAAAACCAAACAAUUGUGCUAACCUUUGCAUCGAUCUUCCUAAGUUCGAUCGACAGCCAAUCUGCAUGAUGUACAGCAGAUAUAAGAAAGCGUACAUUUACUACGUAAACGAGUGUCACGCUAGGAGAGCUAUUUGCAAUGAAAAUCUUGUGCUCCAUCAAGUACACCUUAGGCGAUGUAUGAAAAGCCGAAAUUUUUUUAUGCCUCUUAGCUAUUAGCGUUUUUGAGAGGUAGCGAUAAUACUAUUUGUUUGCUGCUUUCUAGUCGAUCCAAAAUAAUUAUAUUUUAAUGGGUCGUUAAUUAAAUACAAAAAUCAGAACCACUAUAUACUCAUACUGCCAUUUUCAUACUUUGUUUCAUUUUGAUAUACCAUUAUAAAGAAGAUUUUAUUAAACCAGGACUUGUUUUAUCGUUUUGUUUUUAUCAAGCUUAUUAAAUGAAUUUAGACUGAAA